GACGAACGCUGGCGGCGUGCUUAACACAUGCAAGUCGAACGGAAAGGCCUGCUUUCCCUUGUGGAUUGCGGGUGCUCGAGUGGCGAACGGGUGAGUAACACGUGAGUGAUCUGCCCCCAACUUGGGUAUAAGCCUGGGAAACUGGGUCUAAUUCCCGAUAGGACUGCAGGGUGGUGCCUGUGGUGGAAAACGAUUUUCUAGUGGUUGGGGAUGAGCUCGCGGCCUAUCAGCUUGUUGGUGGGGUAAUGGCCUACCAAGGCGGCGACGGGUAGCCGGCCUGGGAGGGUGGACGGCCACAUUGGGACUGAGAGACGGCCCAGACUCCUACGGGAGGCAGCAGUGGGGAAUAUGGCACAAUGGGCGGAAGCCUGAUGCAGCGACGCCGCGUGGGGGAUGACGGCCUUCGGGUUGUAAACUCCUUUCGACCGCGAGGAAGCCACCUGGUUGGAAGGGUGGUGACGGUAGUGGUAGAAGAAGCACCGGCUAACUACGUG
rnacentral:rRNA from 1 species